CCUGCCCCAACUCGUGUUGCAGCCAUGGCUGCAGUGCCAGGUCUGUGUCAUUGGGUGGCAGAGAGGAACAGGCUGUGUCUGUGCUGGUGCUCUGAGACCUGUGGGCACUCAGGAAUGAUCAUCAACCUGACAGU
rfam:Chaetura pelagica isolate M959 contig36699, whole genome shotgun sequence.